rnacentral:sRNA from 1 species
GCUGGCAUGGUGGUAAUGCCUGUAGUCCCAGCUUCUCAGGAGGCCAAGGCAGGAGGAUCACUUGAGCCCAGGAAUUCUAGGCCAGUCUGGGCAAGGUAGGGAGACUGUGUUUCAA